rfam:Helianthus annuus linkage group 6, whole genome shotgun sequence.
GAGAAAUGAUGAAUAAUUAAUUGGUCCGUGUUUCUGAAUUAACCGUGACCGACAACCUUUAACCACUUCUGAUCUC